rnacentral:rRNA from 1 species
GACAUCGUUAGCUCAAAUGCUUGUUACUAGCUCGCCAACGCUUUUCGCAAGUUACUACGUCCUUCAUCGCCUCUGACUGCCAAGGCAUCCACCGUAUACGCUUAGUCGCUUAACCAUACAACCCAAAUAGGUUUCACUUGCGUGAGCCACUUGCGCUGUUGCGACCAGCUGGUUUUACUUGUCUCAUCUUCGGCCAAGAAGAUGGACUCGCCUUAGACUUGAAUAUUCAAGACACUUAACAAGUGUUUUAAGAACUCAAUUUUUUUCGUAUUAACACAACGACAGACAUCAUUGCGUUA